rnacentral:lncRNA from 1 species
CAGCCUCUAUUCCACUGUCAUAGAAUGUCAACAUGCUGCAGCCUGUGACUGGGAGUGGGAAAGAAGCCAAGAAUGUAAACAUUCAACGUGCAUGACUUUUGCCUGGAAAAAGUCAAAUGAAAAUGCAUUGCAGUUAGUUCAAAGAGAAUGAAUUAGAUGUUAAAACACAUUCAAUUAGAAUUUUUUUUUAAAUUGUGAAGCGCAACUUUAUAACCCCCCCGCCGUUGAACCGCAAGUUUGACAACUUGAAAUCAGACUUGCGUGUGAUUAACUUGGGCCGGCCACUCCUUCAAAACAGCGACAUCUUCUUGUUGAACCACCGACGUCGUACAUGUUGCCAACUUAACAUGUUGGAACAGAUUUGUUGGGACGUCUCAGCUAUUUCAUUGUUUUAAGACAGGUAUGGCGGGUGGAUACUGCUAGGAGAGGGGGAGAUACUGGCCUUCUUUUUUCAACAAGCCAUGCAAUCAGUGGUCUUUUAAGGUCUUCAAUGGAGCAACAACUCUCGUCUCCAGUCUCUAGAGCUGCAACAAGGAGUUGAUCACCAGUACAACAAGCACCUGAGCCUGCCUGUAGUCCUGAACCAUGGCCAGGUCCUCCGCCAGGUUCUUCAGGCCCAGCUGGAGCUCAGGGUCCUCUGUUCUGUUAUUAUUAAAAUUAUGUACUUUAUAGUGCUUCGUGUUUGUUUCUUUGAACUUCAAGGUUUAAAGUAAAACAAAACACACUUAUAAAAUACAAGUAUGUAAAAAACGCUUAUUACUAAUUAUCUUGUCUUUUCGUUUUUCUCACUCACGCAUGUCGGUAAUUGUCAUGGAAACAGAACGACACCUAAACCAAUUCUACUUAAGGCCUGCUGACGCUGGGAUUUCCCCCUUUGCAUUUGGACAUUGACGGCAGUAAACAAAGAGGCCUGGACAAGGUAAGUGUGGCAGGUUAGAGACAGCGGUUGGAUGCUGAGGCUUGCCUCGAGGAUCCACAGCCUGCCACAUCCACAGGCCAACAGAAUCCACCAGAGUCCACCAGGUGUCACCAGGUACAGUACCUAAGGUCUGGGGAACAUGCUACUCUACCUCUGCAUCAAUAGUAGGAUAAAAACCCUGAAGUGGCCUCUGCUUCUGUUGUGACAUUAUCUGAAUUUAUGGUGAAUUAGGUGCACAAAAGAUUUAAAAACAGUUUUUAUUAUAGUUUAUUUUAUUUAUUAUUAUAUUAUAAGUUGAUUAUUAUAGUUAUUCUAUUAAGAUACUCUAGGAUAAAGGAUAAUAUAAGAUACAUAAUUCAGUAUGGUAAGAUAAGCUCGCAAGAUAUAGCUUGUAAGCUCGUACGAUAUAAUGUUAUAAAAUAGGAAGAAUAAUACAUGAAAACAACACCAACACAGCCUAGUGACUCGUUAUGUAAAGCAAGUACAGUAGUAGCUACCUGUAGCAGGUUUGUUUAAACUAAAGUUGUGGGGCUGUUAAUACCUAAAAAUAGUUAAACAGUUAGAUUAAAAGACAAAAUCAGAAGAAGGAAGUUUAAGCUCUUUCUUUA